GUGGGGAAUAUUGGACAAUGGGCGAAAGCCUGAUCCAGCCAUGCCGCGUGUGUGAAGAAGGCCUUCGGGUUGUAAAGCACUUUAAGCGAGGAGGAAGGUUCGUCACCUAAUACGUGACGGAAUUGACGUUACUCGCAGAAUAAGCACCGGCUAACUCUGUGCCAGCAGCCGCGGUAAUACAGAGGGUGCAAGCGUUAAUCGGAAUUACUGGGCGUAAAGCGCGCGUAGGCGGUUGUGUAAGUUGGAUGUGAAAUCCCCGGGCUUAACCUGGGCACUGCAUUCAAAACUGAACGGCUAGAGUAUUGGAGAGGAAGGUAGAAUUCCAGGUGUAGCGGUGAAAUGCGUAGAGAUCUGGAGGAAUACCGAUGGCGAAGGCAGCCUUCUGGCCAAAUACUGACGCUGAGGUGCGAAAGCAUGGGGAGCAAACAGGAUUAGAAACCCCAGUAGUCC
rnacentral:rRNA from 1 species